UGCAGUUAGAAAGUGUCACACGUGUGGAAACGCUAAUAACUCUUUGCCAUGUGACACGAGGACCAUCUACUUGGGUAAUUUACAGAACUGUGCACCGGGCGAGGAUUUCUGUAUGACUGAUAUCGUCCACGAUGGAAGUGCUUAUCCUAAAACCUUUAAAAGAUGCGUGUCGGAGCAGGAGUGUCGAAAUAAAUGGCUCCACCAGACGUCUGAUUUAGACUACUGUCUGCACUACGGAAGUGUUCCUAUGUCAGGACAGUACAGCUGCCAUUUUUGUUGUGUAACAGAUGGAUGUAAUGCCGGACAGGUUCCGGAUAAAUCCACCUAUUAUUCUAAAGCAUGAAAUCAUUUAUGAGAAUAAUAAACAGAAUCGUACAAUUUU